GAGGCAACAAGCACUGCUGCUAUGGAGCCAAUAGGAUAUCGGAGAGGACUGGAUUAUCUGCUGGAGAAAGGUGUAGAGGUGGUGACUACUGACAGAUCUUAUAAAAAAGUGGCGAUCGCUACUAUAUAAAAUUUUUGGUGUGCACUGCUGGGAGGUAUAUGAAGAAGAGAAUAAGUGUCAGCAUGAUGCUCUCAGUCCAGAGCAAUAGAGGCGACAGAGGUAGCUUCAGAAAGACACCUUCAAAACCCUGUUGGCUAUUGCCCUGGAACCUAACACACACGGCACUAGCGUCUGGCACUAGCUCCGCUGCUAGUCACCUUCGAUCCGCAGAGAACGGCUUGGUUUUCAUUUGGCUACACAAAGCAGAACCACAGCGAGAGAGAACCAUCGAUGUUACAGUGCUCUAGUUCUUAUAUAGCUUGGGGGGCGGGCUAUGCUAAUUGUUCCCAUUCAUUUCACAUGUUUUCAGUAAUCACUUAAUGUACAGGAUGUUAAAGAUUUGCAAAAUACUGCAGCA